CUAUUAUUUUAAGUGUUAAUUUGGUUUGCCUGGGUAGUAUUAGUUAAGGUCUUGAAACCCAAAGAAUUUGGCGGUAUUUCAUUCCAUUCAGAGGAACCUGUCUCGUAAUUGAUAGUACACGAUUAACUUUACUUAAUUUAUUUGUUUGUAUAUCUCCGUUAUCGGAAAAUCUUUUUGAAGUAUUAAUUUUCCUGUUUUUUUAUUAAAAAUUAUUUCAGGUCAAGGUGCAGUUUAUAGUUAAGUGUAUGAUGGGUUACAAUAAAUUUUUUUAUUAUGGAUUUUAUUUUGUAAUAUUUAAAUGAAGGAGGAUUUGAUGGUAAUUUAAUUUAUUUAAUUUAGUUGAUAUUGGCUCUGAAAUGUGCACACAUCGCCC
rnacentral:rRNA from 1 species